CGUUAUUUUGUUAUUUUGCUUUUGCUAUUGUUGCACUUGCGCCAGUGACUCUGCACACUUGCCUGCAAGAUUUUUUAUACAGUACUUAGCUGACUGCAGGGGAAAGAGAAGUCGUUUUGCGUUCUCGUAUUGGCUUAGAACCGCAAUCGACUACCGGAGGGUUUGAGUGUAAUCUUUGAGGCUCAAACUAGGCUAAGACGAGCAGAGAGCGACUGCUGUGCAAGGUUGAAUUCAACUCCAUCAUCGUAAAAUUAAUCGCAAUUCAAACAAUUUAUGAAUCUAACUGACGUCUGACCACAUUUGUGACCUCUUCGAUAGCUCCUGUUUUUCCCUAUCUAUUGUAGAUGCUGCCUUAUGAGUGAUUGCGUCAUUGACGUCAUUUGACUUUGCUGAUUACAACUGUCUAUCAAGAAAAUGGCAUACGUACAAGGCAUGUUAUUAAUGCCGCUGUGCAUUCCUAUAUACAUAUGUAUGUACACUAGGCCGGAUGUGUGUUCAUAUGAGUAAAAAACACUACAUGUGAUGAGCUGUAGCUCAAUAUAUUUAUCGAAAAGUUUGGUAUUUUUAGCUUAACCUUACGUAUAACGAUUUCAUUUACCAACUUUAUUUGUUCCUUUUUCAGUUCAGCGAGAUAGAGGCAUCUUUGGGCAUUAGUGGGACCAGCAUACAUUCAAUAUUAAAUGAAAAUUUGGUCUUGAAGAAGAUCUUUUCUCGUUGAAUACCGCUUAAUUUCACAACUGCCCAAAAAAGGACUCGUGCCGAAAAUUCGGAAAUUGGUUUAAGCGAAUGCAGAAGUAUAUUGACUUCCAACGAUAAUAUAUUGAAAAACAAUAACUCAUUUUCAUAAUUAUUUUACUUUGUUUUCAAUAUAAGGCGCAAAAUAUAAAAGCGACCCUCGUAUAAAAAUAAGAAUACUAUUCAAAACAGAAAACAAACAAAAGAAAAAUUAUGAAAACCAACGGAUUUGGCUUUUUUCGAGACCCAGCCUAAUGUGACUUAAUUUGCUAAAGCUUUUCACUACAACACACGAUCUUUUUAUUUUUUAUUCAUUUAUUCAAUAUUACAGAGCAAUUCUGGCAACUGUCUUUCGUAAGACAAAUGCCAUAUCUGGUAACUAUCUUGAAAGCUCUUUACUGUUUUUCGAAAUAACUAACUGAAAUAUUUCUAAACAACUAAUUGAAAUAUCUGCUAUGCUGUUCGCCCUUCCGAAAUACGU